ensembl:lncRNA
GCUGGAACACUCAGCUCCUGCUCAGCUGCAGCACCACCGACCCCUGCUGGAACACUCAGCUCUUGCUCCUGCUGGAACACUCAGCUCCUGCUCCACUGCAGCACCACCGACCCCUGCUGGAACACUCAGCUCCUGCUCAGCUGCAGCACCACCGACCCCUGCUGGAACACUCAGCUCCUGCUCCGCUGCAGCACCACCGACCCCUGCUGGAACACUCAGCCCCUGCGCCACUGCAGCACCACCGACCCCUGCUGGAACACUCAGCUCCUGCUCCACUGCAGCACCACCGACCCCUGCUGGAACACUCAGCUCCUGCUCAGCUGCAGCACCACCGACCCCUGCUGGAACACUCAGCUCCUGCUCAGCUGCAGCACCACUGACCCCUGCUGGAACACUCAGCUCCUGCUGGAAAACUCAGCUCCUGCUCCACUGCAGCAGCACCGACCCCUGCUGGAACACUCAGCGACUAAAAACAAUAGAAAAUGUCACAAUUGUUUGUGUAAAUAAAUGUUUAAACACAACUUGAAUGCAUUUGGUUUACUCUUUUCAAACAAGAGAAUAUACUAAUUACAUACCUGGAUCAUCCGGAGCGUCUUGCAUGUCCGUUUACCCCUCCACCUCCGUCACUACUCCACUCAGGAGGAAAGUCGCUCAUCAAGGGGUUGAGCUCCCGUCUCCCCUUCCCCCGCCCAGUGGCAAACACUUUGUCUGUGUAAGGCUAUGCGCCUUUUGACCUCCACUUUUAUGUCGGACCACUUUUUUUUUAUUUCUGAGAGGGUCCGACCUGAGCCAGCAGCAUUCACAGCGUCCGCCACAUAGUGCCACUCUAACGCCUUUCUGUCACACUGUCCACCAAACAAUAUAUUUUUUUCAUGCUUCAACCUCCCAGUAAGAACUUCCAUUUCACACUAGGAUGAAAUGUCUUUUUUUUAGACUUUCUGUCAGGAUUUGCCGUCAUUGUCGUCAUGCAGUCAGUAUGGAUGAAUAUUAAUUAGGAGCGUUUCACUGACUAUUUAUAGGCAUCUAUGGGCGUUAAAAGGGUGGGACAAGACGCUCGCUCACGUGCGCCACAAAUCGAGAUGAUUGUGAUUUAUAAAGGGAAACCGACGUGUAUUGCCACUGUGUUAUAAAUUCGAAUAUUUUUGUGCGUAAGCACUUUCUGCGUUUCGUCCAUAUCCCACCUUUUGACGUGAAUCCUCUGCUCAGUUUUAUAAAUGAGACCCCAGCAGUGCAGGUGAAUUUUGCGCAUAUCGAUGGUUUAACGAGAAAUCCGCUUUCGAUAAUCUAGUAUCAUCGAUGGUUGCAAUAAGCCCCUUGUUAAUUGAUUACAUUCCGAUAAGGCUGCAUUCUGUAGGCUACCCGUUAGCCUAUCAAUUGUCACAUAAUGAAAGGUGUGAAACCCCAUAAUAGGCUACAGGUUUGUAUUUCUGAGUUGAUUAGGCCGACUGUGUGGAUGCUUGCCCACGUUUUAUAGUUAGGCUAUGUAUAAUUUGCAGAAGUGGGUAGUUACUGCAAAUAAGUACUUAAGUAAAAGUGCUGUUACUAGAUUGUCAUUUACUCCAGUAAAAGUAUCCCUCCUAAGAAACAACUCAAGUAAGAGUACAACGUAUCCGGUCAGAAAACUUCUUAAGAACUAGUUUUCAAAUUUUGUUAGGUCAUUUUUACAUCUCAUGGUAAACUGAAACAGCAAAACAAAAAAGGACAACAAUUUACUGUAAAUGAUUUGAUAAUAAUGUAUUAAGCCUGCCAGCAACAUCUAUCAGAUGUCUUCCAGCACAGGUAGUCUGUUGUUGAUGUGUGCAGAGGGUCGCUGGUUCACACCCGGGUAUGGGCGAGGGGACGGUCUGAAGUUACACUGUUACACCAGGACCAUCUUGUCCUCCGGCACAGGUAGUCUGCAACUUCGUGGGUGACUGUUGUUGAUGUGUGCAGAGGGUUGCUGGUUCACGCCCGGGUAUGGGUGAGGGGAUGGUCUGGUUACACUGUUACACCAGCACCAUCUUGUCCUCCGGCACAGGUAGUCUGCAACAAAGACUGAAAUCAAACAAGGUCUGCACACUGUACUGUUUCAAUUACAGCCAAAGGUGACUUAAUAUCUAUUAAAGUGCUUGUUACGGAUACAGUUAUCCUGUGUGUUUCUUUUCUCUCCUUCUCCCCUCACAGGUGAACAUCAUCACUCCCCAAUCAGUCAACAAUCAAUCAUCAAUCAGAAGACACACCUCCUCCUGUUUCCUACCCUAUCACAGUUCCUUCCCCAUGGUUUAAAAACCCCAUCAUUUGUUUGCUCUGGAGCUCAAUCUCUCUGUAAAUGCCAUGUCUGUAGGUCUCUGUGGUUCACUCUCGCUUUGUGUCUUAACCCCUCUUUUGUUUGAGC